AUUGAAGGGCUGACUGCCACUGGAAAUUCCUCUUUGGUGAAGCUUUUCCCUGUGAAAAUGGAAUCUUCUGUUACAGUGUUUUUGGGCUGCUGCUGUCCCCACAUCAUCCCCCAGUUUGCCUGAAGGUCUUGCAGCACUGAAGUUGGAACAUAAAGCAACUGAUCUGGCUGGAACUGAAUGGCUUCACCUGCAAAAGGAGUGGAGCUUAUGGUGCUUGGGCCCUGGAGCACAAUGAGGGAGCUGCAGUAGUGACCCCCAGCCGUGGCACUUGGACAGCCCAGUUAUGGAUGGGGGAGGCUUCGGGGGCCCAGAUCCACAGCCCCCCGCUGUUCCUGGCACGCUGAAAGCCUCCAGCAGGCCAACAAAACUCAUUUUUUCACUAUCUCUGCAUGGCCCCUCAUUACCACCACAUCAAGCCCAAUUUUCUCAGGCCCACCAGCCUUCCUCAUAGCCCCAGUCCUCACGUCACUCUUGCUCUGGCUCUAGGAAAUGAGAGCAGGCCUGGAGUCUAUAAAACACCCUGCAAAACUGAGAUUCCUCUGGGCAAAGGCUCUAAAGUAGUCAUAUUUUUUCCAACAAGCAUCACAAAAAUGAGUAAAGCCGAAGUACCUGUUUAUUCCUACAGCAUCUCAAGGAACAUUAAAUGUGAAAUCAGCUCUCAGGGUUAAAACCUGCUCGCUGUUGCUUGUUCCACUGUCAGUUGUCAGUCUGCAGCCAUUCCCACAGGAUCACUGUGCCUCACUGUGUCAGCUCCGCUGUGCUCCUUGUCAGCUUCACAAUGAGGAGCAAGGGGGGAAACUGGCAACCGGCACACAGGGAUCAGAGGUGGAAUAAAUUGAGAAGGAAUGGUUUAUAUAGGCAUGAAGGUUUUGGAGCUCAGGGCCGCUGAAAACCAACAAAGAAUUAAAGAUAUAUCAAGUACUGAGACAUCAGGCGUGGUUCUAAAGGUGCAGAAUCUGUGAAUGCUUUUAAGCAAAAGGAAAAGACCAGAGGUGGUACUAAACUGCAUCAAAAGAAAGCAGGAAGAGCUAGAAAUGAAGGCAAUCAAUUAUAAGAAUACAAUUUUUUAGUCAGCUGCACUGGUUAACACUAGAACAGAAGUUGUGGGAGACUGUGAGGUUUUUUCAGAGUAACUUCUGUGUGUCUACAUGGGAUUCCAGAGAUGCCAUGUGACCUUGCAGUAUGGAGUU